GAACUGCGAUAAGUAAUGUGAAUUGCAGAAUUCAGUGAAUCAUCGAGUCUUUGAACGCACAUUGCGCCCCCUGGCAUUCCGGGGGGCAUGCCUGUCCGAGCGUCAUUGCUGCCCUUCAAGCCCGGCUUGUGUGUUGGGUCGUCGUCCCCUCCGGGGGACGGGCCCGAAAGGCAGCGGCGGCACCGCGUCCGGUCCUCGAGCGUAUGGGGCUUUGUCACCCGCUCGAUAAGGACCGGCCGGCCGCCAGCCGGCGUCUCCAACCUUUUUUUCUCAGGUUGACCUCGGAUCAGGUAGGGAUACCCGCUGAACUUAAGC
rnacentral:misc_RNA from 1 species